rnacentral:rRNA from 1 species
UACGGGGGGGGCAAGCGUUGUUCGGAAUUACUGGGCGUAAAGGGCUCGUAGGCGGCCAACUAAGUCAGACGUGAAAUCCCUCGGCUUAACCGGGGAACUGCGUCUGAUACUGGAUGGCUUGAAUCCGGGAGAGGGAUGCGGAAUUCCAGGUGUAGCGGUGAAAUGCGUAGAUAUACGGAGGAAUACCAGCGGCGAAGGCGAGUAGCUGGGCCAACACUGACGCUGAGGUGCGAAAGCUAGGGUAGCAAACGGG